rnacentral:rRNA from 1 species
UACGUAGGGGGCUAGCGUUGUCCGGAAUCAUUGGGCGUAAAGAGCGUGUAGGCGGUCCGGUAAGUCCGUUGUGAAAGUCAGGGGCUCAACCCUUGAAUGCCGGCGGAUACUGUCGGGCUAGAGUCCGGAAGUGGCGAGUGGAAUUCCCGGUGUAGCGGUGAAAUGCGCAGAUAUCGGGAGGAACACCGGUGGCGAAGGCGGUUCUCUGGGCCUGUACUGACGCUGAGGAGCGAAAGCGUGGGGAGCGAACAGG